CUUCCAGAAGAUGAAAGACAAAUGAGGCCCAAAUCCCAACGGAAACCUGGCUUCAUUGAUUAGGCCAAAUGUGUUUCAGAAUGAUUGGUUUUUAACCCCCAAGCUGACAUCUUACCGCCCACUGAGCAAUGGUAUGCAGAAAAAUAAGAUACAAAGCAUGCUGUUCAGGAAGCUGUGAGUGGUUUCUGACUCCUUCCGCAAGAUCACACCCAGGCGUCCCCAACACAAUCACCAGCAUGCCUGACUAGGGAUGAGAAAAUGAACCAAGACUGCCAAAACCUAACAUGAUACUGAUGAGCCACUUCCACCGCUCCCCAACCCGUGUGAAGUCAAAAAUUAUAAACAGUCUUCCUCAGUGACCUUUAGCUAUCUUCCCUGUAUUUGCCUGGGGUCAUUCUUGGCAAGGCUGUGUCACUUGGGAUUAUGAAAUGUUAGUAUGCCAACAUAAGACAGCACACUUGAAAUGGGAGCUUGCCCUGGCCUUAGGUUCAGAAAGCACCCACAUGGAAGACUUGCCAUUUUGCCCCAUUGGCCAUCAGGCCUACUGUCUUUCCACCACUAGCUCGGUCCCUUUUUCCUUCUGUAGCUUUUUCCUCCAGGAAGACUCCACAUUUCCAAAUCUGACAGUCUGUGGCAAGUCCUAAACAUUUACCUUUCUUUUUCCCUUUUUACAUUUAUUUUUUUCAGAGUCCCGACACAGGCUUUCAGCUUUAUUUAAUUUAAUCAGGUUGCCAACUUCUAAUGGUAUCUAUAG